UUGUUUCCUGUCUUCGUUUUCAGAUGUAUCUUAGUAAAAAAAAAAGGUAACUUGGAUAUAUCUUUGGGUGGCUACUUAUUUAGGCCUGCAUUUUCUUUGAUGGACAGGUUGCUUGCCUAUUACUUUCUUCUUUCUAUAUAGUAUGUGGGGUAUCAUUUAGCCCCUCCAUCUUGGAUCAAGUUCCCCUUUCCUUCACUGUGUUUGCACUUUAAUGGUCAAUAGUCUUAGCGUUCUAUAUUUGGGUUUUUAGGUACUGCAUUUCCAUUUAUCUUUUUGUAGUAUUUGUACUCAAGCUAGACAUCGAUGUGUGGACAAAGUAGACAAAGCUACUCAUUCUGAAAAAUGAUGAUAUCAGUCAUUAUGGAACAGUUUGAAGGGCGAGCGCAACUCUAUAUUUUUCGGCAUUGCAAAUGAUGAAUUCAAUUCAAAUAAUUUUGUUUGCUCCUUUGGCUUCAAAUCUGUAUUUUUUAUUUGGUUGGUAAAAGAUCCUAGGCAAGCAAUUCUGCUGCCAUGUUACAGUUUAUUUACCUAUCCUUUCAGCCACACUCCAUUCUAAGGAAUACUGAUUUUUGCUAAUUCGAACUCUAGGUCCAGCGAAUAGACCACAUGACCUUUGUUGGGUUGCUAAAAAUUUCAGGUGUUGUGCCUUGCAGGGUACUAUUGUCUCCUGUAGCCACUCUGGUGGACCAGAUAGCAAGAUUCUCUUGGUCUGCUUUGUUCUUAAGCAUGCUAUAAAUUUUGUUAAAUUAGAUGUGAAAACUGGAGCGGCAAUGCAAUUUUAUUUUUACCAAAUAAAUUAAUAGACAAUCUGUUUUGGAAUCAUGUUCUCUUCUGGCUGAUAAAUUAAAUGGGAUUUACAGUUACCGAUGACCAUGCAUCUUUCUUUCUAAAUGUCUUGCUCUUUUAGGUGUCUUUGCUGCUUUUUUUAAUUGCCUAAACUAUUUCAGACGUUGAUCAGACAUUUGUUGAGACAUGUAUCUUUAACUCCUCAGGUAAUUGCAAAACAACUUGAGAAUGAUGCACACUCAUGCUAUGCUAAUGGAACAUUUAAAUUAAAGAAUGUUCAUGCACCACAUGGAUAUAUUGUGAGAAUUCCUGUUCUUAAAAAUUAAAUAUUGUAUAAGUUCAUCCGGUUGAAAGCCAUCAGAUGAGCAAUUGUAUAUGUUCAAUUGGUGACUUCUUAAUCUUUUGCCAUUCACAUUGGUGCACAGGAAAAAAACAGUACACAAGAAAGAGGUUGACCUCACUAAAAUGAUAAUUUUAAUGUUAGUUUGCCUGGAGACAAUUACUCUAUCGAAUGAGUUUUGUUAAUGUACACCGGGGCUCCAAGUUUUAUGUGGUCUAGAAUUGAACAAUUUUUUUUGUGCCUUUACAUGUUGAUGACAAAUUUACUAUGAUCAAUGUAUUUGUAUGCAGCAGAUUAAGGUGAUCAUGUUCUGUCCAUUUGGUUCCGGAAGCUCAUUACAUAUGCCUACAGUGGGAAGAAACUCUUAUUGUCCAAGCAGGGAUGCAUGAGCAGUGAAGCUCAUGUUGAUUUUGUCUCUACCAGUUGUGGCUGGCUUUUGUGUACCCUUUGUCUCCGGCAAGAAGGGUCCGAUGCUUAGGAUUUGGAGUCUGCAUGGACCUCAUCUCGCAAACUCAUAUCCUGAUGAUAGGAUAAAUUUGUGCUUGGAUGUAGACAUGGUGAUCGGAUGCGAUGUGAUGUCCAUGAUUGAGAUGCCGGACAAACACACAGUGCAUAGGGGAGCUUGGUGCUCGGAUGUCUUCUAAUAUUCAUUAUUCUGAUGCCGGACAGACACCUAAUGGCUAAGAUAGUUUGGUGCACAGAUGUGCCGUAAUAUUUAUGAUUCAAAUGCUGGAUAGAUACCUAUAUUAAUAUGUUGAAGAUGUGCUUCCUCCUA